UGAAAUCAAGAUUUGUGUGCUUAACCAACUGAGCCAGCCAGACCACUGCUCUAGAACCAAAAGAAAGGGAAGUUGACAGGCAAAGAGCAAAAUGAGUGAGAGAUGUGGCUGGUUGAGAAGGCAGAGCAGAAUGUGCCAGGGUAGGGCAUGUUAAAAACUACAUCACGAGCAACAGGAGUAACAAUCAACUACUGCAUUUGAUGAAAUUUUUAGAAAAUUAAAAUGUAUCUACCAGAUUGUC